AUUGAACGCUGGCGGCAUGCCUUACACAUGCAAGUCGAACGGUAGAGGGGGCAACCCCUCGAGAGUGGCGAACGGGUGAGUAAUGCAUCGGAACGUGCCCAGUAGUGGGGGAUAGCCCGGCGAAAGCCGGAUUAAUACCGCAUACGACCUACGGGUGAAAGGGGGGGAUCGCAAGACCUCUCGCUAUUGGAGCGGCCGAUGUCAGAUUAGGUAGUUGGUGGGGUAAAGGCCUACCAAGCCGACGAUCUGUAGCUGGUCUGAGAGGACGACCAGCCACACUGGGACUGAGACACGGCCCAGACUCCUACGGGAGGCAGCAGUGGGGAAUUUUGGACAAUGGGCGCAAGCCUGAUCCAGCAAUGCCGCGUGCAGGAAGAAGGCCUUCGGGUUGUAAACUGCUUUUGUACGGAACGAAACGGUCUGGGUUAAUACCCUGGGCUAAUGACGGUACCGUAAGAAUAAGCACCGGCUAACUACGUGCCAGCAGCCGCGGUAACAC
rnacentral:rRNA from 1 species